UUAUGAGAGUUUGAUCCUGGCUCAGGACGAACGCUGGCGGCGUGCCUAAUACAUGCAAGUCGAACGCUUUUUCUUUCACCGGAGCUUGCUCCAC
rnacentral:rRNA from 1 species